GUUAUUUUUCAGCAGGAAGAUUAUGAAACAUUUCCUGGUCAAUCAGGACUUGAGCUCAAUCUUGAGGAAUGAGAAGAAAACAGAUGUGUGAGGAUGAAGGCAGGGAAGGCCCAGAGACAGGGGCCCACACGCUACCCCAGACAUACUGAAGUAAAUUCUCAGGGGAGAUGAGAAUCACAUAACCUCCGAAGACCACUGGAAUGGACAGUCGAGUCCCACCUGCCUCCCACCUCUGCAUGCCUGCUCCCUCCAUCCAUGGAACUACCUGAUUCCCGUCCUCAGGUCGGUACUACCUGAUGGAUUACGAACCUCCUAGGGCAAGGAUCCAACACCUAGCACAAUUCCAAAUUCAUAGCAAGGACUCUAUAAUCAUUUGAUGAAUGGAUGACUGAAUAUUUGAAUGAAUAAAUUUUA